rnacentral:rRNA from 1 species
UGGGGAAUUUUGGACAAUGGGGGAAACCCUGAUCCAGCCAUCUCGCGUGUGCGAUGAAGGCCCUCGGGUUGUAAAGCACUUUUGGCAGGAAAGAAACGUCAUGGGUUAAUACCCCGUGAAACUGACGGUACCUGCAGAAUAAGCACCGGCUAACUACGUGCCAGCAGCCGCGGUAAUACGUAGGGUGCAAGCGUUAAUCGGAAUUACUGGGCGUAAAGCGUGCGCAGGCGGUUCGGAAAGAAAGAUGUGAAAUCCCAGAGCUCAACUUUGGAACUGCAUUUUUAACUACCGGGCUAGAGUGUGUCAGAGGGAGGUGGAAUUCCGCGUGUAGCAGUGAAAUGCGUAGAUAUGCGGGGGAACACCGAUGGCGAAGGCAGCCUCCUGGGAUAACACUGACGCUCAUGCACGAAAGCGUGGGGAGCAAACAGG